GGAAUUUUGCACAAUGGGGGAAACCCUGAUGCAGCGACGCCGCGUGAUUUAGAAGGCCUUCGGGUUGUAAAAAUCUUUUCUAUGGGAAGAAAAUGACAGUACCAUAGGAAUAAGGACCGGCUAAUUACGUGCCAGCAGCCGCGGUAAUACGUAAGGUCCGAGCGUUGUCCGGAAUCAUUGGGCGUAAAGGGUACGUAGGCGGGUAAGCAAGUUAGAAGUGAAAUCCUGUAGCUCAACUACAGUAAGCUUUUAAAACUGCUCAUCUUGAGAUAUGGAAGGGAAAGUGGAAUUCCUAGUGUAGCGGUGAAAUGCGCAGAUAUUAGGAGGAAUACCGGUGGCGAAGGCGACUUUCUGGCCAUAAUCUGACGCUGAGGUACGAAAGCGUGGGUAGCAAACAGG
rnacentral:rRNA from 1 species